rnacentral:rRNA from 1 species
CUUAUACAUGCAAGUCGAGGGGCAGCAUGGUGUAGCAAUACACUGAUGGCGACCGGCAAACGGGUGCGGAACACGUACAGAACCUUCCUUCGAGCGGGGAAUAGCCCAGAGAAAUUUGGAUUAAUACCCCAUAGUAUAACAGAGAGGCAUCUCUUUGUUAUUAAAGAUUUAUCACUUGAAGAUGGCUGUGCGGCUGAUUAGGUAGUUGGCGGGGUAACGGCCCACCAAGCCUACGAUCAGUAACUGGUGUGAGAGCACGACCAGUCACACGGGCACUGAGACACGGGCCCGACUCCUACGGGAGGCAGCAGUAAGGAAUAUUGGUCAAUGGACGAAAGUCUGAACCAGCCAUGCCGCGUGAAGGAUGAAGGUCCUCUGGAUUGUAAACUUCUUUUAUAUGGGACGAAAAUGGGCCUUUCUAGGUCAACUGACGGUACCAUAAGAAUAAGCACCGGCUAACUCCGUGCCAGCAGCCGCGGUAAUACGGAGGGUGCAAGCGUUAUCCGGAUUCACUGGGUUUAAAGGGGGCGUAGGUGGGUUGGUAAGUCAGUGGUGAAAUCCCCGAGCUUAACUCGGGAACUGCCAUUGAUACUAUCAGUCUUGAAUAUCGUGGAGGUCAGCGGAAUAUGUCAUGUAGCGGUGAAAUGCUUAGAUAUGACAUAGAACACCAAUUGCGAAGGCAGCUGGCUACCCGAAUAUUGACACUGAGGCACGAAAGCGUGGGGAUCAAACAGGAUUAGAUACCCUGGUAGUCCACGCCCUAAACUAUGGAUACUCGACAUAUGCGAUAAACUGUAUGUGUCUGAGCGAAAGCAUUAAGUAUCCCACCUGGGAAGUACGACCGCAAGGUUGAAACUCAAAGGAAUUGGCGG